rnacentral:lncRNA from 1 species
GGCGAGACACUACCUCGUCGACCUUCACGAAGUAGACGUGGACUGUGGAGUCCUCCAUUCCGACGGCAAUAAUGUUGUUAUCUUGCGGAUGAAACGCCAGGAACGUCGAAGCAGGAGGCGGGGGCAUGAACGUCGUCAUGACCUGCGAGAUGGCACCCGCAUUGCGCGCACAGAGUAAGAUCACUGACCACAGAGCUUCCCAGAACCAGCGAGGGGGCCGCCUGCCGGAUUACCUUGAACGUCAUCAUGUUGAACAGAGAGACCUUGCCCCCGCAGGCGGACAUCACAUAAGAGUCGUUCUUCGAGAGCGCUAUGCACGGAACGGGCUCCUCGGGCUUGGCGUCUGAGGCGUCGUUAGUCAUGAGAAGACCGCUGCUCGGCUGCCAGUGCUCUGGGGCAGCGUUGGCCGUGGCCUUCACCCACC